ensembl:lncRNA
CCCUACAUUGGGAGCAUAGAGUCUUAGCCACUGGACCACCAGGGAAGAUCUAGGAAUACCUUUGAAUUAACUGAAACUUGCUUGUCCCACCUAUAAAAUAGAUUAUAAAUACAGUUGUUCUCAAUGAAGAUUCAGCAAUAUUACUUCAUUCUAGCUAGAGAAAUUAAUAUGUCUAUUGUUAUUAUGAGAGUAACUAUAACAGUAAAUCUUAGAAAUGAUCAUGAUCCUAAAGACAAUGAAUACUGCAACCAAAGAAGUUGGCCUGUGUUCUGGAGUAUGAGGAGACAUUUUGAUAGGAAAAGCAAUCUGCUCUUGAUAAAAGAACAUUGAACAUUCUGGAAAAUUUUUUUUAAAGCAUCUGGAAAGACUGAGUCCAAAGAAAAUCAGCAAAGUCAUGGUAGAAUAUGGUCCCUUUGUUAUUUACAAAACAGUCUUGAGCAAUUUACUCUUACUUCAUUACUCUGUACCUUAGUUUCCUCAUCAGGUCGUUGGGAGGUUAAUAAAUGAAGUGAUGUAUGAAAUCCAUAGGAUAGUGCCUGGAACAUGCAUUUUUUGGAGAUCUUAUCAGUAAUGUGAGUAUUGCAGUGAAGGUCCUUGGUGGAUUCCGUUAAAGUCCACAAUCAGUUGAGUUUAAGUAAGAGAAAGCUAAUCCUAGAUAAUAUGAAUGGCCCGAUCCCAUCAGUUGAAAGCUUCAAAAGCAGAACUAAGCCUCCCUGAAGAAAAGGAAAUUCCUCCUGUGGAACUUCAGCUUCUGCUUGUGUCCAGUAUUCUGACAGCAGGCAUUAUGGAUUUCAGACUUGCCUCACCAGACCCUACAAUUCCAUAAGCAAGAAAUCUCUUAAAAUCUAUCUCAUGCUGGUUCUGCUUCUCUCAUUGAACCCUAACUAGUACCCAUAUAUAGCACUGUAAAAUAAAGCAUGAAAAAAAAGCACAACUGUUUUGUUAGGGAAUUACCUUUGUUGACAGAAGAGAGGAGGACAAAGUUUGCUUGGAAAAUUCAGGACCAGGGAAGAACACUGAAAGUAUUUGAAGGAAAAGUAGUUCCUGGACACUGAGAAGAAGCCAUUGACCAGGUCCCUGCCUUUUUGUCCUGUCACAAGACCCGGAAACAGGACCCACGCACCUUCAGCCACUCCUGGCCUCACCUGGACUGAUCCUUCCUACAAUGAUUUCCCCUGCCUACAUGUAUACACAAGAGAGCACACCAGUAACAACCACAGCAUAAAGGAUCUUUGGGCAAGUGUUCCAAGA